UCCACGAGUGGCUGUGUCGUGCAGGUGGAGGGGCAGGAGUGGCGGAGGGAAGGGAUGGCCUUCACCCCUGAGCGUCACCAGAAGUGCUGUGCCGAGUGACCCGGGUAUCGGAGGCCCUGCAGCUGAUGGGGACCCUUAGGGACCCUUUUGGCAGUGGGAAGUUACCCAGAGCUGAUCCUUGGAGUCACUGCAGAACUCAUCUUCUGGCUGAAGGUCUGCUCCAGAGUCAUGCUCUAAACCUUGUUGUCUGUCUUCAAAAUGGAGUAAUCUGUAACAAAUGUACCAUGUUUUAUGAAAGUCACACAGAGAUACGUGUACAACAAGAUGUCUCCAUGGCAGAAAAUAUGAAGAAUCAGAAAGAUUAAUGUAAUGAAUGAUUUCUCAACACAGACAGGUGGCGUUUAAGGAAGCAAAUGAGAGGAUUGACUUGGCAGAGAACGGCAGAGUAAGAAGACAGAUCACAAGUGUCCUGUCGCAUAAGGAUGGAGAAUGGGGCAGGCAUGUCCAAUUACUGCCCAGUAUUGUGGCUAUAGAAAUGCCUUCUCACCAGGCACAUGCUCCACGCAAUGAUCAUGUACACACUUCAUUUGCUCAAGGGGGUGCUUUAGC